UGGGGAAGUAUUGCACAAUGGGGGAAACCCUGAUGCAGCGACGCCGCGUGAGUGAAGAAGUAAUUCGUUAUGUAAAGCUCUAUCAGCAGGGAAGAAAAUGACGGUACCUGAGUAAGAAGCCCCGGCUAACUACGUGCC
rnacentral:rRNA from 1 species